GAUGAAGAACGCAGCGAAAUGCGAUACGUAAUGUGAAUUGCAAAUUCAGUGAAUCAUCGAGUCUUUGAACGCACAUUGCGCCCCCUGGUAUUCCGGGGGGCAUGCCUGUCCGAGCGUCAUUGCUGCCCUCAAGCACGGCUUGUGUGUUGGGCCCCGUCCUCCGAUCCCGGGGGACGGGCCCGAAAGGCAGCGGCGGCACCGCGUCCGGUCCUCGAGCGUAUGGGGCUUUGUCACCCGCUCUGUAGGCCCGGCCGGCGCUUGCCGAUCAACCCAAAUUUUUUCCAGGUUGACCUCGGAUCAGGUAGGGAUACCCGCUGAACUUAAGCAUAUCAAUAAGCGGAGGA
rnacentral:misc_RNA from 1 species